GCUAGCUACAGGCUUAACACAUGCAAGUCGAGGGGCAGCAUUUUAGUUUGCUUGCAAACUGAAGAUGGCGACCGGCGCACGGGUGAGUAACACGUAUCCAACCUGCCGAUAACUCCGGAAUAGCCUUUCGAAAGAAAGAUUAAUACCGGAUGGCAUACGAAUAUCGCAUGAUAUUUUUAUUAAAGAAUUUCGGUUAUCGAUGGGGAUGCGUUCCAUUAGUUUGUUGGCGGGGUAACGGCCCACCAAGACUACGAUGGAUAGGGGUUCUGAGAGGAAGGUCCCCCACAUUGGAACUGACACACGGUCCAAACUCCUACGGGAGGCAGCAGUGAGGAAUAUUGGUCAAUGGGCGCGAGCCUGAACCAGCCAAGUAGCGUGAAGGAUGAAGGCUCUAUGGGUCGUAAACUUCUUUUAUAUGGGAAUAAAGUUUUCCACGUGUGGAAUUUUGUAUGUACCAUAUGAAUAAGGAUCGGCUAACUCCGUGCCAGCAGCCGCGGUAAUACGGAGGAUCCGAGCGUUAUCCGGAUUUAUUGGGUUUAAAGGGAGCGUAGGUGGAUUGUUAAGUCAGUUGUGAAAGUUUGCGGCUCAACCGUAAAAUUGCAGUUGAAACUGGCAGUCUUGAGUACAGUAGAGGUGGGGCGGAAUUCGUGGUGUAGCGGUGAAAUGCUUAGAUAUCACGAAGAAACUCCGAUUGCGAAGGCAGCUCACUAGACUGUUACUGACACUGAUGCUCGAAAGUGUGGGUAUCAAACAGGAUUAGAUACCCUGGUAGUCCACACAGUAAACGAUGAAUACUCGCUGUUUGCGAUAUACAGUAAGCGGCCAAGCGAAAGCAUUAAGUAUUCCACCUGGGGAGUACGCCGGCAACGGUGAAACUCAAAGGAAUUGACGGGGGCCCGCACAAGCGGAGGAACAUGUGGUUUAAUUUGAUGAUACGCGAGGAACCUUACCCGGGGUUAAAGAGCAACAGAAUAUAUUGGAAACAGUAUA
rnacentral:rRNA from 1 species